GACGAACGCUGGCGGCGUGCUUAACACAUGCCAGUCGAACGGAAAGGCCCUGCUUUUGUGGGGUGCUCGAGUGGCGAACGGGUGAGUAACACGUGAGUAACCUGCCCUUGACUUUGGGAUAACUUCAGGAAACUGGGGCUAAUACCGGAUAGGAGCUCCUGCUGCAUGGUGGGGGUUGGAAAGUUUCGGCGGUUGGGGAUGGACUCGCGGCUUAUCAGCUUGUUGGUGGGGUAGUGGCUUACCAAGGCUUUGACGGGUAGCCGGCCUGAGAGGGUGACCGGCGACAUUGGGACUGAGAUACGGAGCAGACUCCUACGGGAGGCAGCAGUGGGGAGUAUUGCACAAUGAGCGGAAGCCUGAUGCAGCAACGCCGCGUGCGGGAUGACGGCCUUCGGGUUGUAAACCGCUUUCGCCUGUGACGAAGCGUGAGUGACGGUAAUGGGUAAAGAAGCACCGGCUAACUACGUG
rnacentral:rRNA from 1 species